GAGCGUCUGGUUGGUCCCCUCUGCUCAUGAGGUGCCCACACACAUGUUGGGGGAGAACUCUGCUGGGGAUGGAUACUUCAGAGUUUUUACUCUUUCAGCCUCUUCACUUGAGUUCUAAACAUAGGGCUGUGUGGAUGAAGAGAGUUUAAUUGUUAGUUUUCUGGGAUGAGGGACCCAUUUGGGGACCUGUACCAUUUUUCUGCAGGUUAUUAAUUACAUUAAAAUCCAAACUACACAGAGUGGUAAAAAGGAGUGACUUCUACUGGCACUAACUGCGAACUACCUUGGCUGGCUAUAAAUAAUGACUUUUUUAUGGUGAUGGUGCAUGGAGCUAUUACUAGGUAGGCUUUCUGACCUUGUGUGAUGUGGACAGGGAACUUUAAAUGCAUCUUUCAGAAGAAAGAGCUUUUCAGUCUCUUGAACUUGGAAUUUCUCUCCAUCUAUUUUUAUCAAAAUUAUAUUUUUGAGACAGAGAAAAGGAGAUUUUAAAAGCUUUUAGUCAGUUUUACUUGUCAUAAGGUGGCUGUCAAAUUGAGCAGAGGGCAGCUUGGCUGGGCUACAACAUCCACUCCAGAGAAAAGUAUCCCUCCCAUCGCACGCUGCAUCUCAGGCCAGUGUUGACUCCUUCCUACAGAGAACGCUGGCCUGAAAAGAAGUGUGCUGCUCGCAGCACUAUUUUCCUUCCAUCUGGUUGCUGCAGGUGCAUAAGGCUGGUGAAAAUUUUGCAGUGUGCUCGAGUCCUGGUGCACCUGCUGCUAGACCUGUCUGAAAGCCCUGGCAUCACCUGCACAGGAGUGUGAAGAAUGACUGAAGCGUUAAAUAAGGACAUGGAAAGUAAACUUAAAGCAACGGCAAAAUGUCUAAAGCAAAGAUGGUUAAAUGUGUCAGAUCAAGCUCUUACACUCAGAUUCAAAUGGUAUAGAUUGAACUAACGACCAGCCAUUUGUGUAGUGAACUUUGUCCUCUUCCUUUAAAAUUCUGGGAAUUGGAAUAUGACCUGGAGCAGCUGAAGCUCAGUCAUAAGAGAGCGAUGACUAAAUGACAACGAGCAGAUGAUGUGUCUCCUAAUGAUCCUAUGGGAAGUAAGCAAGCUGGACUAAACAGGAGACUUCCUGUGGACACACAGAUGUCCCACCUGGGUAAAAUUCUCUUUGAGCACGUGGUGCUUCUCCACUGGCACUGCCUUCCCAGAGGAGCUCCUGGAGACCUAAAUCAGGCCUCUAAAGGUUAACCUGCGGGAAGGCGGAGGAUGCCGGGAGGGAAUGAUCACCCAGCUGGUCUGAGGCUGGUGACGUGGGCUGGUAACCUGAGAGCCUGUUGCACAGCUUCUGUGCCUGGAGUUGCUGUGGGAUCAGAAGGAGCUGCCUGGCUCUGCCCUGGUUUAUGCAAUGCCCAGUCCCCUCGGCCACACUGCCCUCCUGAGUGGGAGCCUUUUGGCUGUGUCUGAAUUCAAUGUGCAGCGCCUGCUUCCCACUAACUCACUGACUGCAUGGUGCUAUUCUGCCCUGCCCUGCCUGGAUUAUUCGGGAAUAUCUGGGAACAUGUGUUCCUGAACUGCCUGUUAUCAGCAAGUCCAAGAGCUGGGAAGCCCUAGGAAGCUUUCACUGUACUCCAUUUAUUUUUCCAUUCCCUCCCACACACCCUACCACUACACCAGGCAACAACACAGGAUGCCGUAAAUGGUUCCUAAAAACAUGUCAUCGCUGUCAGUAAGGCUUUUUAAAUUCCUGUUUUAAAAUAUCCCAAACUACAAUUUGGUUUCAAACAGUACCUUCACAGAGGUGCUUAUCCCACAGGAUGACUUGGAGAACCCAUCUGAUUUCAAAUAAAUUCAUGGCUUUAAGAAGGAACAAUUUCCUUUGUUAUCCCAUCUGGGCAGGCAUGUUGUUGUUAUAUAUGGUCAGAAAAUGGAAGUGAAAACGCAAAAGCUGUGGUACAAAACCUCUUCUUGUUGCCAUUGGCACUUGAAAUGUGCUGCAUCGUCAGGUUUGAUGUUCUGAAAGAACAUUUUUUUUAUCUGCUGAUCCUUUUUUGGCCCAGGUGGAUGAUUCUUAGGUUCUUUCCUGAUGUCUUAAAUAGCAGUGAUAAUGUGCAGCCUAUGGAAAGCUGCAGCAACUGUUAGGUACUCAUUAGUCACUGACACAAAGCUUUGUACAUCAGAAUCUAUCUACAGGUGCCACAGGGAGAAGGCAAGAAAGAAAAAUGUGUCAUACUCUGAGGUAAACAGCUUUAUUCCCUAUUAGUCUGCCAGAGGCUGAAUUAGUAAUUUAUGAAGCACUUUGCCACGAUGAGAUUUGUUUAGUCCACUUAGGAUUUGUUUUUCACUGUUAACACAGAGCUAAACAACUGAGACUGUGUCUACAUGCUCUUCUGCAGAUAGGAGCUUGCUCCGUGCCUGGUGCCUGCCAGCUACAAGCCACAUCACCGGCAGCAUGGCAGUGUUGUUUGCACAGCAUGGAGGGUAGGGCUAAUAUUCCCACAGUUACUCAUCUCUGCACCCCCACUUUUCCACCAGGUGCUGUAGCUGCUUUUGAUUUGUUAGCAGAAUGGCAGGCUCGCUGUCUGCCAAACAGGAAUGUAGUGGUCACACAUGGAGCACUGCCUGGGAGGCCAGGGGGAGGGCUGGUAAUGGCCCUGAGCAGGGUGGGGCUCAUCGCAUCUUCAUCCAGCUCUGUGUCAGUGUGGACAAAACGUGGUUCUUCUGCCUAGGGAAUACAUCUGUGGGAAGAUAGGUUUUUUCCCAUUUUUAACACACCCUAUUUCUUAUUAAGAUUUGAGAAAGGUAAAAGUCCAUACUGUUAAGACCACCAACAAACUUUCAGGAAAAAGCAGACACUGCCACAGGAAAAAAAAAAAAAGGAAUAUAGAAAAGAAACACAAAUCCCUAUUACAAAAAGUAAAUCCAAACCAAAUUAAAUUUUUAAAGCCUCCUUCCUGGACAUAAAUCCCCUAUUUUUCUUUUGAAGGUCAGCAUUAGAUGAUGCAAGACCAACACUGAACUUCCAGGCCAUUAGCCUCUUUGGAGCCAGGCAGCAGACAGGGUGAUGUGGUAUGUCUGCAUACCUCCUCCAGGCACCGAAGAGGAGGUGAGAAGCAAAACCCUUCCUACAGUGGAAGGAGUUAUGAGAUCCUUCUCAUCUCCAAGGGAAUGUGCUGCUGCCACAGGGGUGC